UACGGAGGGUGCAAACGUUGCUCGGAAUCAUUGGGCGUAAAGCGCACGUAGGCGGUUUGUUAAGUCGGGUGUGAAAGCCCAGGGCUCAACCCUGGAAGUGCACUCGAAACUGGCAGGCUUGAAUAUGGAAGAGGGUCGCGGAAUUCCCGGUGUAGAGGUGAAAUUCGUAGAUAUCGGGAGGAACACCAGUGGCGAAGGCGGCGACCUGGGCCAAUAUUGACGCUGAGGUGCGAAAGCGUGGGGAGCAAACAGG
rnacentral:rRNA from 1 species